rnacentral:rRNA from 1 species
UACGUAGGGUGCAAGCGUUAAUCGGAAUUACUGGGCGUAAAGCGUGCGUAGACGGUUAUUUAAGUCAGGUGUGAAAGCCCCGGGCUCAACCUGGGAAUUGCAUUUGAGACUGAAUAGCUAGGGUGCGGAAGAGGGAAGCGGAAUUUCCGGUGUAGCGGUGAAAUGCGUAGAUAUCGGAAGGAACACCAGUGGCGAAAGCGGCUUCCUGGUCCAGCACCGACGUCAGGCACGAAAGCGUGGGGAGCAAACAGGGAUUAGAAACCCCCUGGUAGU